GCAGACACAUUCCAGCCAAUCAGCAGCAGACCCUCCCUCCCAGACCCUCCCACCUCCUGGACAGCAUCCAUUUUGAAGCUGCAUUCUUAGUGAGCUGUCCAGGAGGUGGGAGGGUUUGGGAGGGAGGGUCUGCUGUUGAUUGGCUGGAAUUUGUCUG